ACGCUCGACACCUACGGGAGGUAGCAGUGGGGAAUAUUGCACAAUGGGGGAAACCCUGAUGCAGCGACGCCGCGUGAAGGAUGAAGUAUUUCGGUAUGUAAACUUCUAUCAGCAGGGAAGAAAGUGACGGUACCUGACUAAGAAGCCCCGGCUAACUACGUGUCAGCAGCCGCGGUAAUCUGAGCGGGCUGGCAAGGC
rnacentral:rRNA from 1 species